rnacentral:lncRNA from 1 species
AAUUAACAGAUAACAACAAUUUAGAUAAAGUAGCGCUUUCGAUUUUAUUAAAUUAUCAUCAGCUUUAACAAAAAAUGUUAAUUCUAAGGAACAUCAAUUUUCAAAUUUUCAGUCGGUAAUAUAGCAGCGACUUACAACAAAAUGUACAUGAAACAAAAAUAUUUAAUGUAUAAUUCUACUAAGAUAAAUACUGUUUUAACAAAGUUCUAAUACAAAUUAAUAAAUAAAAAUAGAACUAAUUAUGCUAUAAUUCAAUAUUACAAUGCCUUACAUAACCCUAUAACUAUAAAUUAUAUUUAUUGGCAUUACAUGCAUGAUUUCCAGGCAUUAUUAAUCAAUGUUGGAUCUAUUUUAUUCAUGGACUUCGGAGUGGAAUUUCUGCUAUUAUAUAUUGCAAUUGUUUCUGCUAUCUUUUCUUUUUUAGGUUCUUCUUGUUUUCUUACUAGCCUGGCAUCCUCCCAUUUAAUUACUAAAUCUGUGGUUAGUGCUCUUUGCGCUACUGCUGUUGUUAAUGCCGCAUUCUCA